UACGUAGGGCGCGAGCGUUGUCCGGAAUUAUUGGGCGUAAAGAGCUCGUAGGCGGCCGGUUGCGGCUGCUGUGAAAUCCCGGGGCUUAACCCCGGGCGUGCAGUGGAUACGGGCCGGCUGGAGGCAGGCAGGGGAGAAUGGAAUUCCCGGUGUAGCGGUGAAAUGCGCAGAUAUCGGGAGGAACACCGGUGGCGAAGGCGGUUCUCUGGGCCUGUACUGACGCUGAGGAGCGAAAGCGUGGGGAGCGAACAGG
rnacentral:rRNA from 1 species